rnacentral:rRNA from 1 species
UACGUAGGGUGCGAGCGUUGUCCGGAAUUAUUGGGCGUAAAGAGCUCGUAGGCGGUUUGUCACGUCUGCUGUGAAAACUCGAGGCUCAACCUCGAGAUGUCGGCGGAAACCGUCUGGCUAGAGUCCGGAAGAGGAGAGUGGAAUUCCUGGUGUAGCGGUGAAAUGCGCAGAUAUCAGGAAGAACACCAACGGCGAAGGCAGCUCGCUGGGGACGGAACUGACGCUGAGGCGCGAAAGCGUGGGGAGCGAACAGG